rnacentral:lncRNA from 1 species
CUUUAGUUCCUCCACCCUUUUGCCUCAGUCGAUCUUCUCUGCUUCUUCUAGAAAAUCCUCUCUUGUGCCAUGUGGGUUCCGGGCAUUUUCUUCUCUCGCCAGCUGUCCUGGAUUGCUUUCCAGUUUGCUACAGGGCUGCCAGGCACCCAGCAAGGCUCUCAUUUGCUGCUACACACUCUCUGAGCUCUGUUGCUCUGCUUCAGAGCCUUUCCCCCAGCUUCCUAAAUGUCUGUUUGUGCAUUUUAACUCAGCAGGUGCCAAACGGUGUCACAGAUUCGGGUCUCAUUUUUCUGGAUCUGAACCAAUUGUACUCAGCUGGAGACACCUAGGUGCUAGAUGCUUUCCAGCUUGGUGACUCUGCAGAAAGGAGGAGGCCAGGCCCUGCUCUUGGAGGCGUGGGUGAUGGGAUAGCCACGGAACGCAGAAAGCUUCUCCACUCUCACCUCCAGCCCCUGCAGGUUGGCUCAGGGUCUGUGUGCAUCCAUCGAAGGUGUGGGGAAAGCUGGGUUCUGCGGGGUGAACUGGAGAGGCACAAACAGCACCUUGCUAAGACUGGUUAGGGUGUGGAUAGGUACUAGUCCCCUCAGGAACCUGGCAAGAGAGCCUCACUGAAAUGUCAUUAGAGGUCUGUGGACCUCAGAUCUCUGAGAUCAGCACCAGCAGGAGCCAUCUGUGGAGGAAAGUAGGGCUCAGAGGGGCCCUGAGUGCAUGCUUCUAUAGAUCAGAACUUUGAAGCUGCAAGUCCAGUGUCCAGCACCCCCCUCGUCUCCCUCAAAAGCCUGUUUUGUGUUUCAUGGGAUACCUCAGGUAAUGCCUUGCCCAAAACAUCAACUCAGGGCAGAACACAUGAACUGAGAGUUUCCUUCCGAAGUUCUCAGCCUUCUCAGUCCGCUUGCUCGUCCUUUCUGUGGCCUCUCCUGUGAACCCUUAGCCAGGCAAGGACACAGGACACAGGGCCACACGGACUGGACUCAGUCUUGCUCUAAGGCAAUGGUUUUGGGCACCAGCCCCUGAGUUACUGAGACGAGGCCUGGGAAUACACAUUCCUGACAAGUUCUAGGAGCUGCUGGUUCUUCUUGCUUAGGGAGCGCACUUUGAGAAGCACUGCUCUAAGGCAACUUUCUUGAGUGUGUUUUUAGAUCAAAGACCCACUUGGCAAUCUGUUGAGGAGCUUUGCCACCACUUCCAGGAAAAACAAUGCAUCACUGUUAAAAAAGUAUACAAACUUGCUUACAAUUUCAGGGUUUACCAGACUUACAGAAAUUCAUGCAUGAACUUCUGGUUAAAAACCUCCUUACUCCAGUUAAAAGCAGAAUUCAUAGGUAGAAGAAAGGUUUAUAAGGUAAAGAAAAGAAAAUUUUUUCACUGCAAACCAAGGAACUUGAUAGCAAAUCAACUGAGCAUCUGUUUCCUAAAAACUGGACUAUAACAUUUCAAUUCCUGUCUCUGACAUUCACAAGCUCUGCUUUGUUUCCUCCUCUGUAGAUGAGGACUGAUAAUAAAAGCUAGUUACAGAGCUGUGUGAGGACUGCAUGAGCUCGUAUGUGCAAAGCAUGUAACACUGGGCAUGGCACACAGUGUGUGUGCAGCAUCGUUCCCAGGUCCUUUAGCUCAGGGAAAUUCUGUUGAUUCGACUUCCUGAUAUAACACAAGCCUUACGUUUCCAGUCUUAAUGUCCACAGUCCUAGUUUAGGGUUUAACUGUACCUCACCUGCCACACUGCUGUCUCCCCCACUGCUUCUUAUUUUGAUUUUUCCUCUCCUGGGCAUCUCCAGAUAAUACCCACCGAGUCUACUCCGUAUCUGUCCACCGUAACAAAAUAUUUGAGGCUGGGCACUUUAUAAAGAGAAGAGUGUUGUUCAGUUCACUGUUUUGGAGAUUCAGGAGUGUGACACCAACCUCUGCAGUGGUCUGGUGAGAAUUUUGGGCCACAACACCACAUGGUGGUGGCUGCAUGACAGCAACAAAUAGACAGAGUCAGAUGGGAACCUUGAGGUACUGAGGGGCCAGGCCCACUUCUGAUAUCAACGUGACUAACCAGGGUCCCACAAGAAUUACAGUAACCCUGUCAACCCAAUGUCUUAAUUGCCUUCAGCAGAUCUUACCUCUUCACAGGUUCCUCCACUUAGCACCGCCACACUGAGGGCCAGGCUUCCAGCACGUGAAUUCUUAGGGACACACUCAAAUCAUGCCACACCACAGCACGUUCCAAACCUGUCCCACCUUGUCAUCCCCUGCUUAGACUUUUCCAAAGACUGCCCUGUCACACAGGAGAAAGUCUGAGCCCUUAAGCCUCAUAUGCCAUGAGCUCUGCUUUAUUCCAACACUGCUCCUUCCCAAGCCUCAUCGCCCUUCUAUCCCUUUCUCUCUUCUGCUCCACACAAAGGAUGUACAGACUGACUCCAGGCACACUAUACUAUUAAUUUUCCCUGGCCUUAAAACAAAACUUCCUGUGCCCUGAAGGCCUUCCCACUCCCCUGGCAGCAGACUUCUACUGAAUACUGUUCAAGACCCCCAGGAGCACUUCUGCAUUAUCCCUCAUGUCCAAGCAGAAAGGAUUUCUCCUUUCCUAUGACCCACCACAUCUUGCACUGUCUGCUGCUUCUAGCACUUUAUGAGUGCACAUAUACACUCUUGAGUCUGUGGCAGCCACUGAAUACUAUUCCCAGAGUCCACUUCUGUUUUCUGUAAGACAAGGCCAUUUCCCAGAGUUGCUGCAGAAAAGUUUCUGGGUGCAUAUUCAACUCACCAAUAUCUGUCUAUGUAUAGGACAUGAAGAGCAAAGGAGAGAGAUGUUGAGAUAUUUCCUACUGGCAAGUACAGUGAUGAGACAGGAAGUUUCUCUGCAUCAUAAACCGGUAACCAGCCAAUCAUUUUAUGAUUGUCAAGAGUAGAUUUUAACAGCAGCAAUAACAGCUUCGCAUCACUGGAUUUCUGAUUCUUAGACUGCAAGUAUAUGGUAUGUUAUGGGCUCUGGAACCUAGACCCCAGUAAUUACCUAGUUUUGGGCUUUCUGAUUGGCUGCUUCCCUGAUGGGGCAGAGGUAAUCCCUCUUUGGAAGUCAUCCCUGGAACCUAUAAUCUACUCCUCCAGCCCUUAGAGUGAUUUAACCCUCCUAUUAAAAUCCUUUCUGCUUGAA